GAUGAACGCUGGCGGUCUGCUUAACACAUGCAAGUCGAACGGAAUCCUUCGGGAUUUAGUGGCGGACGGGUGAGUAACGCGUGAGAAUCUGCCUUCAGGUUCGGGACAACAGCUGGAAACGGCUGCUAAUACCGGAUGUGCCGAGAGGUGAAAGCUUUAGUGCCUGAAGAUGAGCUCGCGUCUGAUUAGCUAGUAGGAGUGGUAAUGGCACCCCUAGGCGACGAUCAGUAGCUGGUCUGAGAGGAUGAUCAGCCACACUGGGACUGAGACACGGCCCAGACUCCUACGGGAGGCAGCAGUGGGGAAUUUUCCGCAAUGGGCGCAAGCCUGACGGAGCAAGACCGCGUGAGUGAUGAAGGCCUUAGGGUUGUAAAGCUCUUUUACCCGGGAUGAUAAUGGCAGUACCGGGAGAAUAAGCUCCGGCUAACUCCGUGCCAUCCGCCGCCGUAA
rnacentral:rRNA from 1 species